rnacentral:rRNA from 1 species
GGAAUUUGCUCUGUAAUGGACACAACGCCUUAAUCUUACUUAAUUUAGUAAUUUAAAUCAGUUUGUAUACCACUAUAUUAAUUAUAUUGAAUAUUAAUAUUUGAAAUUUUUUUAAAAAAGCAUAUUAAGUCAAGGUGCAUCAAAUAAUUAUGAAGGAGGUGAAUUACAUUAAUUUUAAUGUAAUUUUUUUUAAUGAAAAAAUUUUUAGGAUUUAAUAGUAAAAUACUAAUAUUAUGAGUAUUUGAAUCAAGCUCUAAAAUAUGCAC